rnacentral:sRNA from 1 species
ACGCUCAUGGUGGCUUGGAUCCGAGCAAACCUCUGUGUGUACAUUUCUCGAGAGCUCUGGGAUGACUUUCUUGGUGUGCUGUCCUCCCUCACGGAAUGGGAGGAACUUAUAAACGAGUGGGCCAACAUUAUGGACUCCUUGACAGCAGUGCUUGCAAGAACCGUUUAUGGAGUUGAGAUGACAAACCUACCUCUGGAUAAAUUAAGUGAACAAAAGGAAAAGAAGCAACGAGGCAAAGGCUGUGUUCUAGAUCCUCAGAAAGGAACCACCGUGGGGAGAUCCUUUUCUCUCAGCUGGCGGAGCCACCCAGAUGUGACCGAACCGAUGCGAUUUAGGAGUGCCACCACGUCUGGAGCACCGGGAGUGGAAAAGGCAAGAAAUAUUGUUCGCCAAAAAGCAACUGCUAAGCGAAGCCAGUCUAUCAGCAACUGUGUCCACC